GGAGGAGGGCAGGGCGGGCAAACUGAAUCGCUCCGGCGGCAACAGCGCUCCCUCCUUCCCUUGGUUCCGCCAUGGCCUUCGCUUGCUUGGAAGAUCCAACAUUGGAGAGGCAUUUCAAAGGCCACCGAGAUGCAGUAACCAGUGUGGAUUUCAGUCUAAACAAAAAACAACUUGUAAGUGGAUCUAUGGAUUCAUGUUUAAUGGUUUGGAGCAUGAAACCUCAGAUGAGAGCCUAUCGCUUUGUGGGUCACAAAGAUGCAGUAAUGUCUGUUCAUUUUUCACCAUCUGGUCAUCUGAUUGCUUCAGGUUCUAGAGACAAAACAGUUCGCUUGUGGGUUCCGAGUGUCAAGGGAGAAUCGACUGCAUUCAAAGCUCACACAGCAACAGUCAGAAGUGUUCACUUUUCAAAUGACGGACAAUCAUUGGUUACAGCUUCUGAUGACAAAACAGUUAAAGUAUGGUCUGUCCACAGACAAAAAUUCUUAUUCUCCCUAAGUCAGCACAUCAACUGGGUUCGCUGUGCUAAAUUUUCUCCUGAUGGAAGAUUAAUUGUAUCAUCUAGCGAUGACAAAACUAUCAAACUUUGGGAUAAAGCAAGUAGAGAAUGUGUACACUCUUUCUGUGAGCAUGGAGGGUUUGUACCUCAUGUGGACUUUCACCCUAGUGGUACAUGUAUUGCUGCAGCUGGCACAGACAACACAGUGAAGGUAUGGGAUGUUAGGAUGAACAGGCUUCUCCAGCAUUAUCAAGUGCACAGUGCUUCUGUGAAUUGUCUGUCCUUUCACUCCUCUGGAAAUUACCUCAUUACUGCUUCCAAUGAUUCAACUCUAAAAAUAUUGGAUUUACUAGAGGGGAGGCUGCUAUAUACACUUCACAGUCACCAGGGAUCAGCUACUUGUGUUUCUUUUUCAAGAACAGGAGACUUCUUUGCCUCGGGAGGGUUUGAUGAGCAGGUAAUGGUAUGGAAGACAAACUUUGAUGCUGCUGAUUAUACUGAUCUAUUAAAAACUCGGAAGCAUAGUAUGAAUGCGAUUGGUGCUUUUAACAGCUUGAACCCAAUCGAUGCUGGUAGUAGCGAGAUUCAGCAAGCUGGAACUUACAGACAAGAAAAGGGCUCAUUUAUCAACUGAGAUGACACAAAGCACACUUUGCAAGCUGUGAAAAGAGUUAGUAGCAACAAGCCCACUUAUAGGUGCCUUCAGUAAACAUCAUUGUACUUCAAGAGCUGGUUAAUACAACUCCUGGAGAAAAGGUUUUCCAAGGGAUCAUUCACACUUAUGUUUUGUCACGAGGAAAUUCAGAUCUCUGUCGUGAUGCAGUAUUGCUUCCAAUAUGAUGUAAAUGCCCGGAUCUCUCCAUGGCAUUUAAACCCUGAUAGACAUUCACACUGGCACUGGAUCAUUUCAAAAUGGAGGCAUCUCCAUGUCUGGAAAUGAUCCCACAUGAUCCGGAUCGAACCGGUAGCGCACUCAUACUACUGAAUAUCCAGAUUGCUGCAGCACUUUAAAAAAAACAUGCAGUUGGAAAUGGAUUUUGGAGAAGUUACAGAUAAACAAAAAAAUCAAGAAACUACAGUCGGAAGGCAGCAAGAACAAAUGGAUGAGGCCAGUCUUGCCAGUACCC